UACGUAGGGUGCAAGCGUUGUCCGGAAUUAUUGGGCGUAAAGAGCUCGUAGGCGGUUUGUCGCGUCUGCUGUGAAAACUCAGGGCUUAACUCUGAGCUUGCAGUGGGUACGGGCAGACUGGAGUACUGCAGGGGAGACUGGAAUUCCUGGUGUAGCGGUGAAAUGCGCAGAUAUCAGGAGGAACACCGAUUGCGAAGGCAGCUCGCUGGGACGUAACUGACGCUGAGACGCGAAAGCGUGGGGAGCAAACAGG
rnacentral:rRNA from 1 species